rnacentral:misc_RNA from 1 species
UGGUUCUGGCAUCGAUGAAGAACGCAGCGAAAUGCGAUAAGUAAUGUGAAUUGCAGAAUUCAGUGAAUCAUCGAGUUUUUGAACGCACAUUGCGCCCCUUGGUAUUCCGAAGGGCAUGCCCGUUCGAGCGUCAUUGCACCAAUCAAGCCUGGCUUGGUGUUGGGCCCCGGGGGUGACCCGGGCCCCAAGUUCACCGGCGGGAGCGUCCCGAUCGCAGCGGUAUGGCAAUCAAAUUCGCUGGUGAGACGGGCGCCCCUUGGCCGUUAACCCCCUCUAAGGUUGACCUCGGAUCGGGUAGGGAUACCCGCUGA